AAAAAGAUUUACGGAAAUUUGGUUUCCUUGUUCGUACUAUUACUAAAAUAUGAUAAACAUUAAGUUCCUAUAAAAAGGUCUACGUAAAGUACUGCUGAAGGAUAACUUCGAAAAGUUCUCUCAACAGGAAACGAUCUUUGAAAUUGUCAUCGAAAAAUAUUUCACUUUGGAAAUAUUCUCUAUUAGAAGCACUUCUGAUGGAAUAUGGAGGCAUAGUAACAGAUCGAAUUACAGAACUGGAAUUUGUAAAAAAAAUACUUCUAGUCCACUGGUCACUGCUCUUGUCGUGCCUGGUAUGGGAUAUUACAACGGCUGCAUUUUGGUAAAUGACAAGACAGCAAAUCGUUUGGCGAAGACUACGUCUGUUUGCGCUUUUCUAGUAGAGAUGUAACUGCUUUCACCCGUCCUACGGAUUUUGAAGAGGAAUUACCAGCCGAAGUUCCGCUUAUUGGAUGCUUACCUACGGAAAAACUUGCAAAAAGCACAGAUCAUUCGUUUGCUAAAACGAUUGUUAGGCACCUGGCACUGAUUACUAGCGGCGGUUCAGCGUAUAUUUAUUUAACCAAAUUACAAACGUUAAGAUCGUAUGUUCAGGUCCAAAAAUUUAGCUGUUGUUACAAUUUAAGCGAGGACAACCAGACAUGCACAGUUUCACGAUCUUGAAGAAAUGCUACCAGAUAAAACGGAACCAUUAGUCGAAAGCGAUUUUCCUAAAAUAAUGCAUGACAUUCGGAAAAACGCUGACCCCGAACGCUUUACCCAUUGUAAAUAGGCAACUACAACUUCUUUCUUUCGGUUUGACGUGCCAGUACCUCAUAUUCGCAACAAAACGUGAACUCCGCUCUGAGCAAGCUCUUCCAGUGAUUUCGGACCGACGCAGCCACGACAAAACUUCCGCAAUAAGACGUUCUAGCUCCCAAGUUUCUGUCAGCUGGAAGAUUAUUCCGAUGCCUCGCAACUCCCGGCCGGAAAUAAGCAGAGAAGAAAGCGAAAAAAGAAAGAAAUAAUUAAAGGUUCUGGUUAGAUUUUACGGGCGCCUUACGACCUGAAAAUUCUGCAGCGAAAAAAAAACGCUUUAUACUACGCGUACGGGCAUAGUAUUCUCGUAGUAUGGAGAGAGAUCUACCUCUGUCUCCUUCGUUUAAUACGAAAUCCCGAUUGUAUAUAGCAUAGUUGAUGAAACUAUGUGCAAAGACACAAGUACUGAUGAAAUAGUAGCACUUGUUAAUGGCUUUCAUUAACCGUAGCCUUGAUACGGCUCAUUAUUGAUCAGAAUUACAAUUCAAAAAAUUUUCUAAAUAUUUGUCAAAUUAAGCUUUUAAAAUUUGUGAGAAAGUGAACGUGGGUUGGGUUGAAUGUUGUCAGCAGGCGUUAGCGAUGAUCCGAUGGUGAAUGUUAAAGCACAUCAAAUCAAUGUCAAUUCCAGAAAAGCUUCUGGUUUUACGCUGUGACAACUUGUAAAGCAGGUGAUGUGAUCUUAAGCUUCCGCGGAAAUACGAUAUAUGAAAGAUAUGCAUUUAGUAACCUUAUUCUAAUAUUGUUCAGAAUGAUAUUUAAAAAAAAAAGUAUCUAAGACGACCUACGAGUUUUGGUCGUGUAUCAAAAUUUAUAUAAACCGAAAACCACGUUCCAUUUUCGGUGGAAACAAUGUUCAUGCUUUAUACCAUUGCGGAAACGAUUUAAAAUAGACUUUUUUCGAUGCUAUGGUAUGUAAAGAGCUAUUGAACUCGUCAGCAGGAUACGAAAAACAUGUAUGUUUGCGCAAAAUGGAUAUUGUAUGAACGGCAGUUGGAGCAGGAACUUCCCGCCAAAGAAAAAAAAAGUGUAUAUAGUUUCAAAUCAGUAAGCGAGUAAUUGUGUUGCGAUUGUGCUAAAUUGCUCGUUACGCCCUUCAAUUAUUUAACAGCCCCAGCCAAAGCGUUGUAAAUUACUCUCAAUUUUCUUGUGCUCCCAAUUCCUAAUGACAAGAGUGUUUGGGGUUCUUUAUUGCGAAAAAUUUACAAAAAUAUACAAAAUAUGCACACAUGCACACAUAUGCACGUAUAUAUAUGUGAGCGUAUGUACGCUCAAUGACAAGAUUGUAUUUGUAUCGAACAAUUGAAAACUCUUCCCUAAGUAUUUAUCGCUAAUAGAUAUUUUCUGAAAUAAAGUAAUAAUCUAUACACGUAUAAAUUGAAUGACUCUUUUAGUUUUAAUACCCAUUUUGAUUGUCAUGUGUUUAUAGCUUUUGUAAUAAUGACCAUACAUACCAACAUGUGAACGACCAUACGAUUGAUAUUCAUUUCGUUUGUUUUUGGUGCUUUGGUGCGACAAUCUUCCUUCGCAUAGAUUAUAUACCCAUCAUACACCAUAAAUUCAUCGUGUAACUACGCUGAUUUCAAAGGCGUGGUUAUUGGUUUGUCCAAAGGAAUCAAUGCACCAUUCUUUCAUAUCUGGCAUGGCUCGGCCACGAAAGAAGGCUAAACCUUUGGUAAUUUUGCAGCAUAUUUAGCAGUGGUGAAUACCUCUCCACCUAUAAAGUCACCUUUGAGAGUAAUAUCAAACCAGUAGAAUUUUGCUUACUACUGCAGUAAUAUUUCGCAGGCUUAGAUACUAUGGGGCGAGAUACCUGCAUAAAACGGGAGUCAUGCCAUAGCAAAUGACGAGUGGAUAGUUGUUAAAAAAGUUUAAAGUAGCAACUUUCAGCUUGACGGGAUCUUUUGUACAUAUCCAUCAUGAGUAUUUUGAACAUAUUUCUGUCCGUCUGUGUCACGUCUUCUGUAAGCAUUCUUCGGGAUGCGAGGAUGAAGCUACCGAAAAAAACGUUGGAAGUUCUUCACCAUCGAUUAGUAUUGAAAAUGGGACUAACCGGUCGAAGCAGGUGCAGUAUCCUAGAAGCUGAAUAUGUGCCUGUUCUUAAAAGCAUAAGAAAUAGUUUUUUGAUAAAUACUCAUAAAGUCCAAAAAGCAACUACGCCCACACAAUAUUAUAGUUUUAAGGAGCAAAUUUCGCAGACUUCAUAAAGUAAAUACAUUCUUAACCGGUUUCAAAUUCGAAAAUUCCUUAACCAAGUCCCUGUGUUCUUACUCUUACUGAUUUAUUUUUAGAGUCUUAGAUGUGGGCACUGACUUGGUGUAAAUGGUUUUCGAUUUCGCCCGUUUUUUUUCUUCGCUUGAGAUAAACGAACUGAAGGAUCAGCGACCUAACUACGAUGCCUUUUUUUCUAUAUAUUUUUAAGGUUUUCCUCCUGGCAUUUCAAAUGAAUGCAAGUGAAUGGGAAUCGUUGGGAACUUUCACCCAUCAUAAUUUAUAUAUUCUUCACUGAUCAGAGUUGAUUUAUUUUUCCCUCUUAGCAUAAAAAUCAGAGUUAACGUUAAUAGAUCGACUGGUUUGUCGUCGCUCUUGAAACUCUCACAAUCGUAAAUAAUUGCAAUCUAAAGCACGAAUUUUAAUUUACUGUUAGUUUCGGUAAAAGUGGAAGCAAUCGAAAACUUUGACGGUUAUAAUAUGAUAGCAUGAUAAAGGAACAGAAAUUUAGAAAAAUUUGAAUUUAAAAUGGUGCUAAACGCAAUUAUUUCUAUAAUAUACUUAUAAACAUAUAGUGCAUACAUAGGAAAAUGGUUAAAAAAACUUUAUUUCAAUUUUUUUAUCUUUGUUUUAUUUGAUUUGUUGUAGCAAAACCAUUUAGAAAUACUCAUCUCCUAAAUUGCGAUAUAAAAAUUUUCUCCCAAAAUCAAAUCGGAAAUGACUGUUUACAUAUUUUCACAUAAGUGCAUGUGCGUGCAUAUGUGCAUUUUUCAUAUAUAUUGUAAAUAUCUUGCGAUAAAAAAACUCGGAUGUUUAUCGUUACUAAACUAUAACAAUUAAGGAUGCUUAAUACAGUUGAAAAAUAAUCAUUGAGAUUUAUUUUUAUUAAUCACUC